AAGACAUCACAGCUGGAGCGAGACACAGACACCUGAGCCACUCAGGUGCAGAGGCAGCAUACAGCCAAGCACAGCAAAAACCAACCAGGGUGACUCUGACUUCUGCUAACACCACCGCAGUUCCAGAGCCAGCUCAUUACAUUGAAAAAGGGAUUCUACACCUGGAAGAUUUCCGGAUGGGUUCUCCUGGGCCGGAGUCGGCGAGUUGGAAGGAUGCGUCGCUGGAAGGGGCACUCAGAGGGACCUCCCACUAACCCGUCCUGGCACUCGGAGUUAGAGGAUGUGGAGAGGAGAUCGCUGACGGAGAGAUGGUCUGAUUUAGAGGAGGUCAUUGUGCCGAGCUUAUCUUUAGCUCUGUGGCUAAUGAGGACAGCAUCUCGUCCACUGUCGAUACUCAUUCCCCUAGCAUGUGUUCUUCCACUCUGAGUGCACCUCAUAUACGCUGAAGGGAUCUGCAAGAAUCCAUCGGCAUCCACUUUAAGCUCAGAAUCAGAACUGAUCGGCUCUUUGGCAAGAAGACUGUCUUGAUGAUCAGACUUCUCCUGAAGCGAGCUGUCUCCUGCAACCAGCGUAUCUUCUUUUUCAUCACCUGCGGAGGGUUCCUCCACUUCGUGAGGCGAAUCGAAA